rnacentral:sRNA from 1 species
GUGAGAAAAUUAUAGGUUCGGACAUUGUUUUCAAAUAUUUUGCAUGUAUCAAAGCUCUUAUAAACAAGAUAGGAUAUUCCUACAUAGCUGGUGGGACCCCAACA